rnacentral:lncRNA from 1 species
CUGGCACAUUUACAAUCAAGGCAGAAAGAAGAUGGCCUUCAGAGUUUCAGGCUCCCUCUGCUCGAGUGUCUGAGGACUGCCUUUAGGCUGUUUCGCAUGUGUGAUGGGUUUGGUGUGAAUGGAAGAGAAACUUCUGGGACUAGCUGCUGUGGCCGAGUGGGUUUACUGACCGCCUGUCUCCUCGUCCUCGUGCGCUGUAGACGUACAUGGCCCAGUGGCUAUUCAAAGGAAGUGACCUCCGCAGUGUGCCUUUCAAGCCACACAGGAUGGAUCCUUGUGCGACAUUCAGCCGUCGCUCUGGUUUACACCAAAUUCAACAACUUGUGGCCUGCAGAUACUCAGUAGAAAUAGCUGGAAAAGCCUGACCUUGACAACCUCAUUUCUCAUUCCUUUCUUGUUACAGGUCACACAGAACACCACGAACCCACCCCCAUGGUUCUGGAAUGAUUGGAAUUCACAGCAUUGCCUACCUCAAAAAUAAUGAAAGGUUCUGCAGAGACCCACUGACGCAGAGGAGCCCGCAGAUUCCAGUCUGUCUGCAGACGGGCUGGGCACUGGGCACUGAGCUGGCUCAGGUGGGUCUGUGAGAGCCGCAGGGCCUGGCGUGCGCAUCUCUGCCCAACACCGCAUUCAGCAACAUCAGGUCGGAAGCUGGUGACGUGGAGAGUAUUUACGCUAUGGAAAUUGGCAAAUGGCAAAAAUCAAGCCCUUCCCCCUGGAGAACCAGUUGUUGAACAUUUACCUGCACACCACUAGAGAACUUGUCCAAAAGCCUUUAAAAAAACCCAAGAACUGACUUUACGUAGAUUCUUUUGUUUAUUUGGGAGUAGCUGAAGUAGAGGGAGGGCUCAUGGGGAUUGUCUCAGUGUGUAGGGUAGCUUUGGGUGGGUGGUGCGUCUGCAUACACGCGCAUGCACACACACACACAAUUCACACGUUUACCAAAACAUCACAUUGUAUACUAAAUCUGAUAACCUGCUUUUUUGUCUCCUUAUUGGUAUAUUGUUGUUUCUU